GACGAACGCUGGCGGCGUGCUUAACACAUGCAAGUCGAACGGUGAAGCCCUUCGGGUGGAUCAGUGGCGAACGGGUGAGUAACACGUGAGCAAUCUGCCCUUGACUCUGGGAUAACUUCGGGAAACCGGAGCUAAUACCGGAUAUGACACGCGGCCGCAUGGUCUGUGUGUGGAAAGAUUUAUUGGUCAGGGAUGAGCUCGCGGCCUAUCAGCUUGUUGGUGGGGAAUGGCCUACCAAGGCGACGACGGGUAGCCGGCCUGAGAGGGCGACCGGCCACACUGGGACUGAGACACGGCCCAGACUCCUACGGGAGGCAGCAGUGGGGAAUAUUGCGCAAUGGGCGAAAGCCUGACGCAGCGACGCCGCGUGAGGGAUGAAGG
rnacentral:rRNA from 1 species